rnacentral:lncRNA from 1 species
UUAAUCAUUACAAAAUCGUGAUCUUACUUAACAGAUUUAGAAAUGGAAAAAGAUUUAUAGAUACAUGUUUAAAUGUACGUGUAUGAUCAUCGUACGUAUAAAUAUACAUGUGCAUAUAGAUAUGCAUAAAUGUGUGAGAUAUAUAGUAUACACGAUCAAAAGUUUUGCACAAACACGAUAUGGUUUUCGGGACACGGAAUUACCCUCAUCGAUAAUGCCGUAAAAGUUAUACUCGCACGGGACGCGAAACUUCCAACCCGGAGAAUCCGGAAUUCAAUGGAAUACGAUCCUUUCAUGGAUGCUAUGCAUCUUUAAAAUUUGAUUCCGCCGAUGCAUUUGCUACGGCCAAAAAGAAGGGGUGGGGGGGAGAAGGACGGUUGUGGCAGUGAUGUUGGUGUAGGAGGAGGAAUGAGAGAGGUUGCUGGUCCACGGGCUGGGAUCGUUCAUACUGAAUUUUAAUACGUGCUUCAUCGACCGUACUUUUCUACGCACACACAUACGCACACACGCACACACAGUCACGCAUUCAUGUAUUUAUAUAUUCGUGACGUGACAUUUAUACCUUCAAAAGUGAGAAAAUCGUUUACGUGAAAUCUGUGAUCAACGAGGUGGGAUAAAGGAUCGAUUUACACGAAUGCCUAAUAUCGAUGAGUUUCUAACGUUUCUUCGAAAUCGCUAGGCGUAUCGUACGCAGUCAUGAACCUUCGUAAAAUCGAUUCUAAUGAAAUUCCACGAGUGGUACCGAGAGUCCUCUCUCUCACUCUCUAUCUCUGUGUAUGUAUAAAUGUAUAAACGUAUGUAUGUAUGUGAGAGAGUAUGUGUGUGUGUUUGUAUGUGUGUGUUGGUGCAUAUGUCACUCACGUGAUCGAAUUGAAGUGAUCGAUAAGCCAACCACGUUGACAUGGUAAUUGCAUCCGAAAUUGAGCGAAUUAGGAAUCGAAUCAUAGAUCGCACGAAUGCUCUCGAUCAUCCUUAAUGAUCCUAUCAAAAGAAGGAAGGAAAGGAAAUACCGAUACGAAAGGAAAUGCCAAUGACGAUAAAGAUCGAUGCAGAUUGUCUUCAUUUUGAUCGAUAAUCUUAAAAAAUGAGGAUAACAGAUUAGACAAUUAUUUCUUCAUUUAGUUUAUAAAAAUAUAAAGAAAAAGAAGAAGAAGAAGAGAAAGAGGAAAAUUCUUCGAUCAAUGAAUCCUUUAAUAUUUCCUAAUAAUUUAAUAAUAAUAAUAAUAAUAAUAAUAAUAAUUGUAAAAACGUAAACUUCUUUCUAGAAUAUUAGUUUAAUGCAAUUAAUUUUCUCGAAGAUACAUCGAGUGUACACACGUACAUAAACAUUAUAAAUAAAAAGGAGAUAAAUCACUGAUAAGAAAAAUCUGUGAAACUAAGAUAAACUUGGUCUUAUGGUCAAGUAAUAUAUUUCAAAAGUCCGAAGAGUUAUAAAACAUUACCGAAUGAAAACCAUUAAACAAGAUCAAAAGCGUCGAAGAAGAUGCAUCGUUCGCCAUAUUUGUCGGAUAAUAAGAAAAUUUAUAAUUUAAUUUCAA